GGAUAAUCAAUAUAGUAAUCUGAGCCUUCUUUUUCAGCAUCAUCCUUUUCAUUUGGAAUAGCAAAGACAAUGUUCUUUCUGGCAAGGUUUCCAUUAUUACUGGCUACAUAAUGGGCAAUAUGUUCCCUAAAGCCAGGAAUUUUGAAAAAAGGUUGUGGAAUUGAGUACUUCCUGGAAAGGUUGGAAGAGCUAACAACCAAGAAUGAAGCAACUUGAAAUCCAUUAUUUGACAAUGCAGAAUGAUUGGUGAAUAUGGCAACAGAAGCUACACCACCCAACAUCUAGAGACAGAGGACAAUUGAAAAUCUUAGAAAGGAUUGGGUAUAACUGGAAAAAUGAAUGGGAAAGUAAGGAGAGAGAAGGGUAAUAAGGAGUGUGGAGGGCGCGUGCCAGAUUCAGUGUAGGAGAUGAAGAUUCUUCAGCCUAUCAUCAUUUCCUAUACGGC
rnacentral:misc_RNA from 1 species